CCUACGGGGGGCUGCAGUAGGGAAUCUUCCGCAAUGGACGAAAGUCUGACGGAGCAACGCCGCGUGAGUGAAGAAGGUUUUCGGAUCGUAAAACUCUGUUGUUAAAGAAGAACAAGGAUGAGAGUAACUGCUCAUCCCCUGACGGUAUUUAACCAGAAAGCCACGGCUAACUACGUGCCAGCAGCCGCGGUAAUACGUAGGUGGCAAGCGGUGUCCGAAUCUAUCGGGCGUAAAGCGAGCGCAGGCGGUUGAAAGCCCCCGGCUCAACCGGGGAGGGUCAUUGGAAACUGGAGAACUUGAGUGCAGAAGAGGAGAGUGGAAUUCCACGUGUAGCGGUGAAAUGCGUAGAUAUGUGGAGGAACACCAGUGGCGAAGGCGACUCUCUGGUCUGUAACUGACGCUGAGGCUCGAAAGCGUGGGGAGCAAACAGGAUUAGAUACCCUUGUAGUC
rnacentral:rRNA from 1 species